GAGAGAGAGCGUCUUCGAGAUCCAUCUUUAAGUUGGUUUGUCUGAUUCUUGAUAUUGGACGAGACUGCCCGAGGAGAUUUGUCUUCGGUUUCAUAUCUGCGGUAUGAGUGGGAAUCUAUUGGUGAGCGUGAUUGUACUUCUUUGUCUUUGUUGUGCAGUGAUCGGUUUGAUUCUCCACGAGUAGACUUUUCUUGGUAGAUGGUUUCUCUUUCUCUAUGUUAGGGUCUUGCUCCGAAAAGGUUACCGUGUCUAUCACGCCUUUGGCUAAACUGAGCUUUGUUAUCGUGUUAUGUUCUUGCUUUACGUUGAUAUGCAGGUGCACCUUGGGGACGUA
rnacentral:lncRNA from 1 species